GCGUAAGCGCACGCAGGCGGUCUGUCAAGUCGGAUGUGAAAUCCCCGGGCUCAACCUGGGAACUGCAUUCGAAACUGGCAGGCUAGAGUCUUGUAGAGGGGGGUAGAAUUCCAGGUGUAGCGGUGAAAUGCGUAGAGAUCUGGAGGAAUACCGGUGGCGAAGGCGGCCCCCUGGACAAAGACUGACGCUCAGGUGCGAAAGCGUGGGGAGCAAACAGGAUUAGAUACCCUGGUAGUCCACGCCGUAAACGAUGUCUACUUGGAGGUUGUGCCCUUGAGGCGUGGCUUCCGGAGCUAACGCGUUAAGUCGACCGCCUGGGGAGUACGGCCGCAAGGAUAAAACUCAAAUGAAUUGACCGGGGCCCGCACAAGCGGUGGAGCAUGUGGUUUAAUUCGAUGCAACGCCAAGAACCUUACCUACUCUUGACAUCCAGAGAACU
rnacentral:rRNA from 1 species